rnacentral:rRNA from 1 species
CUACGGGGCGCUGCAGUGAGGAAUAUUGCGCAAUGGGGGAAACCCUGACGCAGCGACGCCGCGUGGAUGAUGAAGGCCUUCGGGUUGUAAAAUCCUGUCAGAUGGGAAGAAUUGUUCCAUGUCUAAUAUAUGUGGGACUUGACGGUACCGUCAAAGGAAGCACCGGCUAACUCCGUGCCAGCAGCCGCGGUAAUACGGAGGGUGCAAGCGUUGUUCGGAAUUACUGGGCGUAAAGCGCGCGUAGGCGGUCUGUUAAGUCAGAUGUGAAAGCCCAUGGCUCAACCAUGGACGUGCAUUUGAUACUGGCAGACUUGAGUACUGGAGGGGGUGGUGGAAUUCCCGGUGUAGAGGUGAAAUUCGUAGAUAUCGGGAGGAAUACCGGUGGCGAAGGCGACCACCUGGCCAGAUACUGACGCUGAGGUGCGAAAGCGUGGGGAGCAAACAGGAUUAGAUACCCCGGUAGUC